CUUGAACUACGCGAUUGGGCCCAAAGCAUCCAUUUUUAUCCAGAAGCACAUUCGGUCCGGGCUCCAGCCACUCGCCUCCAGCAAUGGCCAGUCAGCUGCUGCCGCCGGCGACUCCAUCCACCGCCGCUGCAGCCGCCACCACCACCACCACCUGCAUCUCCUCCACCUCCACCGCCACCACCAUAUUCUCCCUCACCGAAGACGACCUCCGCGAGAUCUUCCUCCGUCUCCCGGACCUCCGGGCCCUCAUCCGCGCCGCGCUCACCUGCCGCCCAUGGCUCCAGGCCAUCCGCUCCUCGCGCCCCUUCCGCCGCCUCUUCCGCGCCCUCCACCCGGCGCCGCUCCUCGGCCUCUUCCUCGAGAUCGGCAACUCCAGCGCCCCCUCCUUCCUCCCGCUCCGCCGAUCCGACCCCGUCGUCGCCGCCGCCCUCCGCCGCGGCGACUUCUUCCUCACAUCGCUCCCGCCCCUGUCCACGGGCUGGGGCUUCGCGGACUGCCGCGACGGCUACGUCCUCCUCUGGAACAUGAUGCCCAAGCGGCCGUCCCUCGUCGCCCUCAACCCCGUCACCUGGGCCAUCGACGUCCUCCCGCGGCUGCCCGGCCAGAUCGCCACCGGGAGCCGCCGCGACUUCGCCGUGCUCGGCUUCCACCUGCUGUCCUCCGACGAGCGCCCCUGGUCGUUCCGCGUGAGCUGCGUCUGCGCGGACCAGCGCAGGGUCCGCGUCGCCGUCUUCUCGUCGGAGGCCUGGGAGUGGGCCGUCCGGCCGUGGGUGCACGUCGGCGGGAACUGCAGCCUCAAGUACAGGGCCGGCACACUGGUGGGCGGCGCCAUCUUCUGGCCCUAUCAGGGCGAAGCGCGCAUGAUAAGGAUCGACACCGCCACCAUGGACAUCUCCUUCCUGGAUCUGCCGCCGGAAGUGGAAGUGGCCGGCUUCAAUUUCGCCGUCGGGGACACCAAGAACGGCGAGCUCUGCAUUGUCUAUGAAUCUGCUUUCUUCCUCCUCACCUGGAUUCGUCGCAGUGUGGACGGCACUGAGGUUUGGGCGCCGCCGACGGUGCUCUCUCUAGGCGAAGAACUCGACCGGCACACUCUUGCCUCCCUUCUGGACGUGCAGCUCGAUCUCAAGAUUGUGCAAGUAAGGUCUGGUCUCGUGCACUUGUCGUCCACGUGCAUGACCCAUGCCGGCACGCUCCACUGCUGGUUCUUCUCCCUUCCAUUGGAGACCAUGGAGCUCGAGCUACUCCUUGAGGGGAGCUUCGAAGGCGAUGUCCAUCUGUACAAUAUGGCCUGGCCUCCUUCUUUGGUUGGUGAUGGUUAGAGCAUUGGACAUGAAUGAUGCUCAAGUUUCUCGCUGAAUUGAGUCUGUGGUUGUCUGUCAUUUGCAAAAGAAGAAAUGGAUGGAAAUCUGUGGAUUGUUAAAUACAUUGUUGAUGCAAAAGAAGAAUAUCUGUGCAUCGGUUGGGAGGAGAUUUGCGGCUGGAGUGAUUGGGUUUAUUGUCUUGGAGAAGGUAAUUCUGGGAGAAGAAUUACGCAGAUGAGUACAUUCGGAAUACAUCACUGGCAGAGUUGACCACUUGAGCAUGCAUUUUAGGCAAGAGCAGGCAUGGGUGCAUGUCGGUGGACACUGCAGCCUCACGUACAUGGCUGGCAUGCUGGUGGGUGGCGCCGUUUUCUGGCCCUAUCAGGGUGAAGUGCGCAUGAUAAGGAUUGACACAGCCACCAUGAAUGUCUCCUUCGUGGAUUUGCCCCCUCAGGUGGAGGUAGUCGGUUUAACUUUGGCAUUGUGGAGACUGGGAAUGGUGAACUCUGCAUUGUCCAUGAAUCUGAAUUCUUCCUCUAUGCUUGGAUUCGUCGUCAUAGCUAGAGAGUUGGUGCUGCCACCCAUCUGUAUAAUAUAGCCUGGCCUCUUUCGUUGGUCGGUGAUGAUGAGAGCAUUGGAUAUGAAUGAUGUUGAAGGUUCCCUUAAUUGAGUUUGCAGUU